rnacentral:rRNA from 1 species
GACGAACGCUGGCGGCGUGCCUAACACAUGCAAGUCAACUUGACUGAAGGAGCAAUCUGACAGUAGAGUGGCGCAAGGGUGCGUAACGCGUAAGUAACUUGCCCCAAGGUAAGGAAUAACGUCGAGAAAUCGGCGCUAAUACCUCAUAAUGCAGCGGAUCCGCAUGGAUAUGUUGUUAAAGGUUUACCGCCUUGGGAUAGGCUUGCGUCUGAUUAGCUAGUUGGUGUGGUAACGGCACACCAAGGCUACGAUCAGUAACUGGUCUGAGAGGAUGAUCAGUCACACUGGAACUGAGACACGGUCCAGACUCCUACGGGAGGCAGCAGUGAGGAAUAAUUGGGCAAUGCUCGAAAGAGUGACCCAGCAACGCCGCGUGGAGGAUGAAGGUAUUCUAUAUCGUAAACUCCUGUGAGAGCAGACGAAAGACAGAUUAUUAAUCUGGAUGACUGUAUGCUCAGAGGAAGCCCCGGCUAACU